rnacentral:rRNA from 1 species
UACGGAAGGCAGCAGUGGGGAAUAUUGCACAAUGGGCGAAAGCCUGAUGCAGCUAUGCCGCGUGUAUGAAGAAGGCCUUAGGGUUGUAAAGUACUUUCAUCGGGGAGGAAAAAACAAAACUAAUAAUUUUAUUUCCUGACGUUACCCGAAAAAGAAGCACCGGCUAACUCCGUGCCAGCAGCCGCGGUAAUACGGAGGGUGCUAGCGUUAAUCAGAAUUACUGGGCGUAAAGAGCACGUAGGUGGUUUUUUUAAGUCAGAUGUGAAAUCCCUGGGCUUAACCUAGGAACUGCAUUUUGAAACUGAAAUACUAGAGUAUCGUAGAGGGAGGUAGAAUUCUAGGUGUAGCGGUGAAAUGCGUAGAUAUCUGGAGGAAUACCUGUGGCGAAAGCGGCCUCCUAAACGAAUACUGACACUGAGGUGCGAAAGCGUGGGGAGCAAACAGGGAUUAGAUACC